rnacentral:lncRNA from 1 species
GUUCUAGUUGUGUCCUAAAAUCCAUUCUGUAUAAUGAACACUAAAAUGUUCACAUUUGUCCAGUUCCUAAUAAAAAGUGGACAUUUCCACUUUUUCCAAACUUUCCUAAAGCACUAACUUUAUAUGAAACUUUCCUCUAAUUUCCCAGCAGCUUGUGCUUCCUCGCUCCCCUUUACUUUCCAUUGACCUAUUAUAUAGUUUGUAUAUGUAUACAUUGCUCCCUCCAUAGAAUGUUUCUUUUAUUUCUAGCUCUAGCAAUUGGGGUGGUACCUGAAACAUAGGAAGAUACUAAGUGCUUAUCAGUGAUUGAUUCUGGUAUUUGUAACCAGAGGCAAAGAAUAUGGAACAUGAUAUAGUAAAGAUAAGAGCCUUUACAUAUAUAGUUCCAGGAGCUCAGAGGUGAAGUGACUUCUCCAUUGUCCCCAGGUUAAGUUGAACAAUCAGGUCUUAUGAUUCCCAGGUGCCAAGCUCCUUUCUCUGCUGCCCUCUGCUUGUCUUCGCAUCCACCUCCUUUCUCUCCUCCCAGCAAUUCUGCCAAACUUUGUACAGGCCUGAAUUUGGGAUAUUUUCACUCUUUCCUGAUAGGCAUCAUGGCCAGACCUUCCAGGCUGCAGAAAAGACACGACCUCUCACCGUUGUGUCUCUCAUUCACUAGGUUUCCAGAUGCCUCAGAGCCAGAUUACCUAGCUUCUGGACACGAAAGCUCCCUGGCUGGAAGCACCGUGCCUUCUUGCUCGUGCCCACCAAAGAGUAAUUUUAGGAUAAGAAACUCGCUACCUCCCCGAAUCAAGAAAGUGAACAGCUUGGAGAAGGUGCCAUGAAGAAGCCUGCAGAAACCACACACUGCACCAAAAGAUCCAGAAUGAACUUUAGGAUGUAGUGAAAUUGAACUGUGGGGGGUUGAACACAUUGAUUUUGAAUGUACACUCUUCUGCCAAAGGGGACUGCCCCCUAAUUGGCUUGUCAAUGAGCCUAGCAAACAUUGGUUUUGCUCUCUCUCUUCUAUUUUUCUCAUCUCUAUUAUAGUUUCCUCUUAGAAAGUGCAAUAUUGAGACUUCCGGGUAAUCAUGGCUGCAAUCUAGACGCGGCACGCUUUCUCUCCCCAGCACCGAACGAAAUAGACUACAUCAAAGGAGCAUAAAAUCACCUUUGGAGGAACAGAAGGACUCCCCAGUACCCCACAGAGGCAAAGGUACAUGGGGCUUGAACAUUUCCACACUAAAAUAAGAAGGAAAAGCUUGCACAGAAAAGUGAACUGAGCCGCCCUUCCCCCACCCCACCUCCCCCACUAAACCAGAGUGAGCUACCUGAGCGCUCACCGGGACAGCGAGUGAGUGGGGAGCGUCUCUGUCUGGGGGGGCACUCCAGGGUCCUUGGGAUCUGGGGACUGCCAGGAAAAAACGUCUCAGGGCGCUUUCACUGGAGAAGCCAGCGGACCUGGACUUGGGGCGGGCUGCGCUGAACAACGCGCGCUGAUUAUCUGGGCGGAGCUGAAUACCUGGGCUCGGAGGCUGGGAAGAACUAGUCUGAAGCAACCUAAAUUCACAGAAAAACCACUCUUAUAACCCAGACCCCAGACCAAAAAGGAAAGGGAAAUAAAACCACCAAAGGGAUGGCUCA